UACGUAGGGGGCAAGCGUUGUCCGGAUUUAUUGGGCGUAAAGAGCGUGUAGGCGGCCAGGUAGGUCAGCUGUGAAAACUCGAGGCUCAACCUCGAGAUGUCGGCUGAAACCAUCUGGCUAGAGUCCGGAAGAGGAGAAUGGAAUUCCCGGUGUAGCGGUGAAAUGCGCAGAUAUCGGGAAGAACACCUAUGGCGAAGGCAGCACUCUGGGACGGUACUGACGCUGAGACGCGAAAGCGUGGGGAGCGAACAGG
rnacentral:rRNA from 1 species